UCCCUUGUGACUCAGCUGGUAAAGAAUCCGCCUGCAAUGCGGGAGACCUGGGUUCAAUCCCUGGUUUGGGAA
rnacentral:tRNA from 1 species